CCAAACAAGCCUAAAAAUAAGAGAAAAAAACAAACGAUUACUUCACAAGGUACUUAUAUGAUAACUCCUUAUAAUUUCUCUAUUUGUGAUACUACUAUCUGGAUAUUGGAUACUGAAAGUCCUAUUAAUAUAUGCAAUUCGUUGCAGGGACUACAGGUAAGUAGAAAGUUUCGAGAGGACGAGCGGAUUCUUAACGUUGG
rnacentral:lncRNA from 1 species